GCCUAAAACCUAGCUUUAAAACCUCCCCCAAUACCCCCACCCCCAAUUUUUCCCCACAAUAAAACAUUUUCCAUCAUUUAGUAAAGGCGAUUAAAAAAUGUCUUAAAGCUACAAAAAUAGUACCGCAAGGGAAAGGUGAAAUAGAAAUGAAACAACUCUUAAGCCCCAAAAAGCAGAGCUAAAACCUCGUACCUUUUGCAUUAUGGUUUAGCCAGUCCAACCAAGCAAAAUGCACUUUCAGUUUGACCCCCCGAAAUUAAGCGAGCUACUUCAAAACAGCCUUUUAGGGCAAACCCGUCUCUGUUGCAAAAGAGUGGGAAGAUUUUCAAGUAGGGGUGAUAAACCUACCGAGCUUAAAGAUAGCUGGUUAUUCAGGAAAAGGAUUUUAGUCCUACCUUAAGUUUUUU
rnacentral:rRNA from 1 species